rnacentral:misc_RNA from 1 species
AAGUCGUAACAAGGUAACCGUAGGUGAACCUGCGGUUGGAUCAUUAACAAAUUUAAAAGAACUUUGGGAGUAAGCGUUAGACGCCCUCUCACUGAUCUCAACUUUAUGUGAACUCUUUAUUGUAUCUUGGUAUUAGUGGUUCUUUGUUGAGCUGCUUUGCCAAUCUUAAACUUUUAAAAAUAAUAAACUCUUGUCUUGAAUUAAAUUAAUACUAAUUUAAACAACUUUUGACAACGGAUCUCUAGGCUCUC